GUCCACACCGUAAACGAUGAUAACUCGCUGUCGGCGAUAAACAGUCGGUAGCCAAGCGAAAGCGAUAAGUUAUCCACCUGGGGAGUACGACCGCAAGGUUGAAACUCAAAGGAAUUGACGGGGCCCGCACAAGCGGAGGAACAUGUGGUUUAAUUCGAUGAUACGCGAGGAACCUUACCCGGGCUCGAACGGUGCAGGAAUACAUCAGAGAUGGUGUAGCUAGCAAUAGUCUGUAUCGAGGUGCUGCAUGGUUGUCGU
rnacentral:rRNA from 1 species